rnacentral:lncRNA from 1 species
AAUCUCCCAUAAGCACAAAAGGGCCAUCCAAAGUGAAAUAGAGAGAAGAAGAGCAUCCAAGUGAAUCCCAAAGCUUCCUCUCCAUCCGUGUGCUGCCUCGGUGAUCCUCUACUUCGUGCCAAAUCAAAAGAGGGUCAAGUAAAGAAGAAGCCGAGCUCCUUCAUCUUCAAAACUCGUUUGAGGGCUUCUCUUUACUCUAUUUGGUUA